CACUGUCCCUAUCUACUAUCUAGCGAAACCACAGCCAAGGGAACGGGCUUGGAAAAAUCAGCGGGGAAAGAAGACCCUGUUGAGCUUGACUCUAGUUUGACUUUGUGAAGAGACAUGGGAGGUGUAGCAUAAGUGGGAGGCUCACGCCGAAAGUGAAAUACCACUACUCCCAUCGUUUCUUUACUUACUCGAUGAGGCGGAGUGCGAUUCUUAUCAGAAUCACCCUACUUGCGCAAAGUGUUGGAGUGUCUAUUAGACACUCUGCACGAUCCGAUUCGAGGACAUUGUCAGGCGGGGAGUUUGACUGGGGCGGUACAUCUGUCAAAUACUAACGCAGGUGUCCUAAGGUUGGCUCCGUCAGGACAGAAACCUGGCUUAGAGCAAAAGGGCAAAUGCCAGCUUGAUCUACGACGUUCAGUAAACGUAUAGACGGCGAAAGCCUGGCCUAUCGAUCCUUUUGACUUCUCGAGUUUAGAUCAAGAGGUGU
rnacentral:rRNA from 1 species